UUACUGACUGAAGAGUCCCAAACUAGGACGAAACAGCUGUCCAGUAC
rfam:Trichobilharzia regenti genome assembly, scaffold: TRE_scaffold0005386